rnacentral:pre_miRNA from 1 species
AGAGGGAUAGCUGGGUCAAAUGGUGGUUCCAUUCCCAGAUUUCCAAGGAAUCUCCAUACUGCUUUCCAUAUUGGCUGCACCAAUUUGCAGUCCCACUAGCAAU